GAUCCUGGCUCAGGAUGAACGCUAGCUACAGGCUUAACACAUGCAAGUCGAGGGGCAGCAUGGUCUUAGCUUGCUAAGGCCGAUGGCGACCGGCGCACGGGUGAGUAACGCGUAUCCAACCUGCCUUACACUCUUGGACAGCCUUCUGAAAGGGGAGAUUAAUACAAGAUGUUAUCAUGAGUAAGCAUUUUUCGCAUGAUUAAAGGUUUACCGGUGUAAGAUGGGGAUGCGUU
rnacentral:rRNA from 1 species